rnacentral:lncRNA from 1 species
AGGAGGCGCUCGGGGGAGGGGACGCGCCCCUGCGCUCGGCCUCGUGGGGUCCUCCGUCACCCACGGUGGCCGGCCGGGGGACUGCAGGCGGGGCCGCCAUCAGCCCUGUCCGAAGAUGGACUCGACGUCGCAGAAUUAGCGCCUGGUGCGCUCCCAUCAGCAGCCCUUGGAGGGCCCUAGGCCCAACAGAACCGAUGUUUAAAACGACACCAUGCACGCCUUCUUUGACACCCUGGAACGGCAGUGUCCCCAGUGAGGGCUGGGGAUGCUAGCUCGGUGGUGGAGCCUGCCUAGGUGCGCCAGGCCGGCUGUCCCCGGCCUCCAGGGAGUGCAGUGCCCCCGGGACACUUGACCUCAGCUGUGCUGGGGCUGAUGUGGCUCCUCUCCUGCUGCUGCUUUCCCCGCGGCAGUAAGCUCCGUCCAGAACUUGCACUUACACAACUAUUGCAUUGCUUUGGUUUCUUUUCACAUGUGUUAUUAAGAAAUGUAUUUUCAUUAGUUUUUUUUGUGUGUUUUCAAACUUUGAGCUAGUGUCCUGGGACUUUUAUUUUCACAGAAGGUUAAGAUUCAUCAUUCAUUUGAGAUUGAAGAUUCAUUCAUUCAUGGGCCUGGGGUUGAGGCUCAGUGGUAGAGCGCUUGCCUAGCAUGUGAAGCACUCGGUUCGACCCUCAGUACCACAAAAAAAUAAAAUGAAGGUAUUGUGGCCAUCUACAUAUACAUAUAUGAAUGUGUGUGUAUAUAUAUAUAUUUCCUUGAAUGCCUACUAAUGUAUGUGUAUAUGUAAAACAUGCCCAUAUAUAUGCAUAUAUAAAAUCAUUGAUGAGUA